UAGCCAUGGUGAAGGCACUAAUUUAACAGAUCUUUAAAUCUUUCCCAAACUUGGUAGAACGUUUCAUUGUCGUUUUGGGUAAAUGUAGAAAUCUUUUGUUUUCGAUU